UACGGAGGAUGCGAGCGUUAUCCGGAUUUAUUGGGUUUAAAGGGUGCGUAGGCGGUCUGGAAAGUCAGCGGUAAAAGCCCGGGGCUCAACCCCGGCGAGCCGUUGAAACUGACGGACUGGAGACGGAGAGAAGUACGCGGAAUGCGCAGUGUAGCGGUGAAAUGCAUAGAUAUUGCGCAGAACUCCGAUUGCGAAGGCAGCGUACCGGCUCCGGACUGACGCUGAGGCACGAAAGCGUGGGGAUCAAACAGG
rnacentral:rRNA from 1 species